UAGGUCUCAACCACAUGAUUAAUCCCGUUUCUCUUUUUUCAUACUCAUUAAUCCUUAGCCGUUUCUAAAUUCGAUCCUAUCUUCAAUGCGUGAUGCGUUACUCUGGGAAAUCGAUGUUACGGAGUACAUUAAUUCUGAUUCGUGAAGAUUGAAACUAAGGUCUUUCUCACUCUUAUAUUUGUACAUUUCGGCUUAGGGUUGGCCUUCCAAUUCUGGAUCUGCUCUUUCAUUUCCAAAUCAGAAGGUCACCCAAGCUUGAUUGGAAACUUCUUCUACAACUAGAAUUACUCCAAUUUUGUUUCCCCCAAUCUGAAACCACGAAACCCCAAAAUGAAAAUCAUAAAUGAAAUUUCUAGAAUCCGUAUCUUAAGGAGGAAGAUCAAUGAGGAUGAGUCCGAAGAAGGACGUUGCAGAUCAUCUUGCGGCCUUAACUAAUGCUUAUAUCAGAUAUUGGGUGCCAAAAAAUGGUCCUACUGGUGAUAAAAGUCAAGUGUCUACAAGAAUCACGGGCACCUGCGGAGUCAUGUAUCUACAAGAGCCCAGCAGUUUGCAGUACUAUCUCCAUCUUCAAGGAAAUGCGCGUCGAUUAUGUAGUAGCAGUUUGCAGUGCUAUCUCCAACUUCAAGGAAAUGCGUGUUGAUUAUGUAAUUUGUUGGUCUGUUGGGAACUGAAGAAGCUGGAUGAAAUCCUACAUGCCUCGUAGAUGCGUGCUACUUAAGUGGAAAUUCUACUUCUAAAUGAACUUGGUUGGUGUUCCUAUGUCUAAUUAAAUAUGUUUUGGCAAAAGUUCUACUUCUGAUUGAACUGGGUAUGUGUGUCAAAAGCAUCUGUUAAUGGAUAUAUAGACUACCAAUUGUAUAAGAAAUACAGACAACUAAUUGCCUCUCCACCACCCAAUUUGUAAUCCAAUUUUAGUUAAAAAAUCGAACAAGACUAUUUUUCUCUGUUGGCUACAAGUUAAUCUUUGGCUAUAAUCUGUUUAUUAGGUGCAUUUAAAACUUUAGUCUGU